GGCCCAUUAGCUCAGUUGGU
rnacentral:siRNA from 1 species